rnacentral:lncRNA from 1 species
UUUCGUAUUAGUAGCCAGUGACAGAGUCAGCAUGCAGAAUUGUGUAGAUUCAGGAGUUGGGAGUUUGGAAACUUCCCAACAAUAGCUUCUUGUAUCCGGAUUAGUAGACGGUUGGUUUAGGAACCAAGCCGAAGAAUUCCUCGACGAAGCGCUAAGUAUAUCAAGGAUAUAAGAUGUCGAGGUUGAUGCAGUAUUCAAAGACAGAGGACUGGUUUUGAGAAAUCAGGAUGAGGAAUCACUAGCAGGACUAGGGAUAGUCAGGAUGUCCUCGGAAUAGUAGUAAAGUGUUGUAAGUCUACGGGGGUAGCCGUAGCAUUCACUAGCAGUUAGAUAGUAGUAGAGUGUUGUAAGUCUGCGGGGGUAGCCGUAGCAUUCACUAGCAGUUAGGUAGUAGUAGAGUGUUGUAAGUCUGCGGCGGUAGCCGUAGCAUUCACUAGCAGUUAGAUAGUAGUAGAGUGUUGUAAGUCUGCGGGGGUAGCCGUAGCAUUCACUAGCAGAUAGAUAGUAGUAGAGUGUUGUAAGUCUGCGGGGGUAGCCGUAGCAUUCACUAGCAGUCAAAUAGUAGUAGAGUGUUGUAAGUCUGCGGGGGUAGCCGUAGCAUUCACUGGCAGCCAGAUAGUAUUAG